rnacentral:misc_RNA from 1 species
GAUGAAGAACGUAGCGAAAUGCGAUAAGUAGUGUGAAUUGCAGAAUUCAGUGAAUCAUCUAAUCUUUGAACGCACAUUGCGCCCCUUGGUAUCCCGAGGGGCAUGCCUGUUCGAGCGUCAUUUCACCACUCAAGCCUGGCUUGGUGUUGGGCGACGUCCUCUUUGGGGACGCGCCUCGAAACGCUCGGCGGCGUGGCACCGGCUUUAAGCGUAGCAGAAUCUUUCGCUUUGGAAGUCGGGGCCCCGUCUGCCGGAAGACCUGCUCGCAAGGUUGACCUCGGAUCAGGCAGGGAUACCCGCUGAACUUAAGCAUAUCAAUAAGCGGAGGA